rnacentral:rRNA from 1 species
CCCGCACAAGCGGUGGAGCAUGUGGUUUAAUUCGAUGCAACGCGAAGAACCUUACCUGGCCUUGACAUCCAGAGAACUUAGCAGAGAUGCUUUGGUGCCUUCGGGAACUCUGAGACAGGUGCUGCAUGGCUGUCGUCAGCUCGUGUUGUGAAAUGUUGGGUUAAGUCCCGCAACGAGCGCAACCCUUAUCCUUUGUUGCCAGCGGCUCGGCCGGGAACUCAAAGGAGACUGCCGGUGAUAAACCGGAGGAAGGUGGGGAUGACGUCAAGUCAUCAUGGCCCUUACGGCCAGGGCUACACACGUGCUACAAUGGCGCAUACAAAGAGAAGCGACCUCGCGAGAGCAAGCGGACCUCAUAAAGUGCGUCGUAGUCCGGAUUGGAGUCUGCAACU